rnacentral:rRNA from 1 species
UCUAGGGGGUGUAGCAAUACAUCACCGGCGGACGGGUGCGUAACGCGUGGGAAUGUACCUAUUGGUUCGGAACAACUGCGGGAAACUGCAGCUAAUACCGAAUGUGCCCGAAAGGGGAAAGAUUUAUCGCCAAUGGAUCAGCCCGCGUAGGAUUAGCUAGUUGGUGAGGUAAUGGCUCACCAAGGCUCCGAUCCUUAGCUGUUCUGAGAGGAAGAUCAGCCACACUGGGACUGAGACACGGCCCAGACUCC